CAUACGGGGUAGACCCGAAACCGAGCGAGCUAUCCAUGGGCAGGCUGAAGCGAGGGUAAGACCUCGUGGAGGGCCGAACCGACCUACGUUGAAAAGUGGGCGGAUGACCUGUGGAUAGGAGUGAAAGGCUAAUCAAGCCCGGAGAUAUCUGGUUCUCUCCGAAAUAUAUUUAGGUAUAGCCUCACGCGUUUGCGUUAUGGCCGUAGAGCUACUGCUUGGACUAGGGGCCCUACCAGGUUACCGACUUCAGGCAAACUCCGAAGACCAUUACGUUCAGCGUGGGAGUCAGUGUGCGGGGGAUAAACUCCGUACGCGAAAGGGGAACAACCCAGACCACCAGCUAAGGACCCUAAGUGGUGACUAAGUGGAGAACGAUGUCCGAAUGCCGAGACAACCAAGAGGUUGGCUUAGAAGCAGCCACCCUUGAAAGAGUGCGUAACAGCUCACUGGUCAAGUGUUCGGGCGCGGAGAAUUCAACGGGGCUCAAGUCACCCUCCGAAGCUGUGGGCUUGCGAGAUCUGCGGAUCACGUGAGCGGUAGGAGAGCGUUCCUGUCUGCGUGAAGCGGCGUCGUAAGGCAGCCGUGGAGCGGCAGGAAGUGAGAAUGUCGGCAUGAGUAGCGCAAGAGGGGUGCGAAUCCCCUCCACCGAUUGAGCAAGGUUUCCUGAGUAAAGUUCGUCUGCUCAGGGUUAGUCGGGACCUAAGGCGAGGCCGAAAGGCGUAGCCGAUGGCCAACAGGUUGAUAUUCCUGUACCACGUCGUGACCGUUAUCACCAAUGGGGUGACGGAGAAGGCUAAGGGAACCCAGGCGAUGGUUGUCCUGGGGCAAGCACGUAGCUAGUCGCGGUAGGUAAAUCCGCCGUGGCGUUUUGACGCGAGGUGCGAUGCCAGCUGGCUUGACCGCCGGCCAGUCCCCGAUGCCAUGCUCCCGAGAAAAACCUCUAGGGAGGUCACUCGUGCCCGUACCGAGAACCAACACAGGUGCUCAAGUGGAAAACACUAAGGUGAGCGAGAUAACCCUCGUUAAGGAACUCGGCAAAAUCGCCCCGUAACUUCGGGAGAAGGGGCGCCCCGGUAGGGUGAACUCCAUACGGAGGGAGCCCGAGGGGGCCGCAGUGAAUUGGUCCAACCGACUGUUUACCAAAAACACAGGCCUCUGCUAAGUCGAAAGACGACGUAUAGGGGCUGACGCCUGCCCGGUGCCGGAAGGUUACGCGGAGUCGUUAGCCACCUUCGGGUGGCGAAGCGGUGAAGCUAAGCCCCGGUAAACGGCGGCCGUAACUAUAACGGUCCUAAGGUAGCGAAAUUCCUUGUCGGGU
rnacentral:rRNA from 1 species